AACGCACCUUGCGCUCCUUGGUAUUCCGAGGAGCAUGCCUGUUUGAGUGUCAUUGAAUCUUCAACUUACAAGCUUUUCUUAUCGAAGGCUUGUAGGCUUGGAUUUGGAGGCUUGUCGGACUUUAUUAUACGGGUCGGCUCCUCUUAAAUGCAUUAGCUUGGUUCCUUGCGGAUCGGCUUGUCGGUGUGAUAAUGUCUACGCCGCGACCGUGAAGCGUGUUUGGGACGAGCUUCUAAUGGUCUCAUUAGAGAGACAAGUUUUAAUGAGCUCUGACCUCAAAUCAGGUAGGACUACCCGCUGAACUUAA
rnacentral:misc_RNA from 1 species